AGAAAUGAAGUAAGACCCCUCAGAGAUGAUGAGGUAGAUAGGCUAGAAGUGGACAUGUGGUGACACAUGGAGCGGACUAGUACUAAUGGUUCGAGGACUUAACCAAG
rnacentral:rRNA from 1 species